GGGGCCGGCCCCCACGCUUCCGGGGCCCACGGGUGGCAGCGUGGAGCGCCCAGAGGUCAGGGCAAGCCAGGCUCGUCCUUCCCACCAGGGAGGCCUGUGCACCUGGGCCCGAGGAGGCACAGCCCCUGGAGGCCAGACACUCGCGUCAGGACGGAUGGAGCCCUCAGGCUGGAGGGGCUCGGCGCUCUCAGGCCUCCCAGCGGGGCAGGGCACAGAUGCUUCAAGAAUGCUCGUUAUCCUGUUCUCAAAGCGUGGUAAAUGUUGAUACACACAAGCACAGCUCACAGUGUCCUCAACACCUUUCCAGUGUAUCCAGGACCCUGAGAGACAGAGUUAAGAACCGCUGCCACCCCCACUUCUGCCCGGUUAACCAGGCUCCUUGGAGAAGCAGCCAGUUCCAGAUGUGGAGACAAGUGCGAGACUGCUGGUGACUAUAUAACAUCCAGCUGAAGACUAGCAGGGGGGUACUCUUUCUGCCCCCUUCUGAUGCCUAUGUCAGAAGCUUUCUCUAUCUCCUUUAUACUUUAAUAAAA
ensembl:lncRNA